UUGGAAUAAUUCUCAUUUCAAAUUUUAAUCAAGAAACCUAAUCAUUCUCGUAAUAUUUAGUUUAAAAAAAUGCAUGGAGUGUUCAUAUUUAUUAUUGGCGGUAUUGUUGGUUUUCUAAUCGCCAAAAAUAUCGAUCGUCUGAUUGAAAUAGAUUGGAGUUGUUGAAAUUGAAGUACCAGAAGAAAUGUCUCAUCUCAUUACUUUUACUCUUGGCAUUGUAGUUGGUAUGAUGGUCUCGAGAAGCUGCAAUCCAUAAUCGAAAUAAACAAAAUGUAAUCAUGUAAAAUGUUUGAAUUAAAAUAGAGUUUACUAACAUUGCCGCGAAGCUAAUUCAAUGAUUUCUUUAAAUACAUGUUUACCGCAUUUUUAAAAUUAAGUCACGUACUUAAAAUAAAACAAUAAUGAAUUUAAAGUAAAAUUAUCUAAAUCUAUGAGGAAAUGAAAAUAUCCCUUACCUUUUUCAAUCUAGCUCGCCUCGUUUUCUUCAUCAUACUAUUUUUGAAUAAUUCUCACUUAAAAUUUUAAACAAGAAACCUAAACAUAUCUCGGAAUAACUGUUUUGAAAAAUGCAUGGAGUUCUAAUAUUUAUUAUCGGUGGUGUUGUUGGUUUUCUAAUUGCUAAAAACAUUGAUCAAAUAGAUUGGAGAAGUUGGAGUUGAAGUAUCAGAAGAUAUGACACAUCUCAUAAGUUUUGUUCUCGGCAUUGUAGUGGGCAUGAUGGUCUCAAAAAAAUGCAAUCCUUAAAAGAAAUAAACAAAAUUUGAUCAUGAUGUAAGAUGCUUAAAUAAAAAUGGAAAAUUAUUAACUUUGCCACAAAGUUAAUUUAA